GUAAAUGAACCAUCAGAUGUAGCAACUGGUAGCACCUCUCUUUCUUGUUCCUGACAAUCAGCCCCACCUCAGCAAGUCAGUAAAGUUAGUCCAAAUUUUUACAGUUCCAUUUCAUUCUUCCAUUCAGACUUCAAGUCUCCUUUUCAGUGUUUUUUUUUUUUUUUUUUGGAUUGAUGAACAUUGUUGUUGGACAAUACAAGACCUCCUGCUCAGCCAUUUCCACAAGAUUUCUGUGAUCUCCAGCAGCAUUGUCUCUUGAUGCCUGCCUCUCCUGGAGUGACUGUAGUCGGACAACUAUAUUCCACUACAUACAGAUUGGCCAAAGGUUUGCAGAACACGUUUCCACGGAACAAGGAAAUGUACACCCCAUGAACAAGCAGAGAACAUUCAGUGUGGUGGCCAGAGAGAUCCUGACUCAGUUUCAGGUGUGGCAGAAGGCCUGCUAUAGCAGGAACAUUGAGUGGGGCCCGAUUACAGCGAAGGUUCGGUCCUCUUCAUUUGUUCCGUCUGAUGAGAU
ensembl:lncRNA